CGAACGCUGGCGGCAGGCCUAAUACAUGCAAGUCGAACGGCUCUUCGGAGCAGUGGCGGACGGGUGAGUAACGCGUGGGAAUGUGCCCUUUGGUACGGAACAACAACGGGAAACUUGUGCUAAUACCGUAUGUGCCCUUCUGGGGAAAGAUUUAUCGCCAUUGGAGCAGCCCGCGUUGGAUUAGGUAGUUUGUGAGGUAAAGGCUCACCAAGCCUACGAGCCAUAGCUGGUCUGAGAGGAUGACCAGCCACACUGGGACUGAGACACGGCCCAGACUCCUACGGGAGGCAGCAGUAGGGAAUCUUGCGCAAUGGGCGAAAGCCUGACGCAGCCAUGCCGCGUGUAUGAUGAAGGUCUUAGGAUUGUAAAAUACAUUCACCGGGGAAGAUAAUGACGGGACCUGGAGAAGAAGCCCCGGCUAACUUCGUGCCAGCAGCCGCCGUAAUAC
rnacentral:rRNA from 1 species